rnacentral:rRNA from 1 species
GACUACUGGGGUAUCUAAUCCUGUUUGCUCCCCACGCUUUCACGCCUUAGCGUCAGUAAUGUUCCAGGAGAUCGCCUUCGCUUUAGAUAUUCCUAGUGAUAUCUACGGAUUUUACCCCUACACCACUAAUUCCAUCUCCCCCUCCCAUACUCUAGUCUAGCAGUUUCAAGUGCAGUUCUAUGGUUGAGCCAUAGGAUUUCACACCUGACUUGCUAAACAGCCUACGCGUCCUUUACGCCCAGUGAUUCCGAGUAACGCUUGCACCCUCCGUAUUACCGCGGCUGCUGGCACGGAGUUAGCCGGUGCUUAUUCAUGAGCUACCGUCAUUUUCUUGACUCAUAAAAGGAGUUUACACACCGAAAUGCGUCAUCCUCCACGCGGCGUUGCUGCAUCAGGGUUUCCCCCAUUGUGCAAUAUUCCUCACUGCAGCCGCCCGUAGG